UCGCAAUAUGGUGCCUAUAGAAGUAUAGGAGAAUUGGGAAGCAUCGGUGAGAAUCCGACACGACAGCCAUCACUGUGAUUGACGAAGAAAAGGGCAUAUGUCAUUGGGGGCAUCGCUCCUGAGAAGGCGCUCUUUUUCCGGCCGACUGGCCGGUAGUCAUAAGCCAGGAAACCAGCCAUAUCUGC
rnacentral:ncRNA from 1 species